rnacentral:lncRNA from 1 species
AUAUAUGCUUUAUUUAACUAAUUUUUAGGUAGAGAAUUUCAUGUAACAUUGGUAAUUCGGGGUAAUGUGGAGGUGUGUCCGAGUUAUACCACCCUCGUGAAUAUGGUAUGGAACAAUAAAAACAUCACAUGUUUUUAUAAAGUGGUGGAUGAUAAUCGACUAUCCAUCAUAAUAAGGCUAUAUCCCAUAUAAAAGGAGUAUUUUCUCUAUAUAUGUUCUUUUUCACUAUAGCAAUUUAUUAUUAUUUAUAUUUAUUAUUAUUUUAUUUUUAUUUUCUACUAAUACUAAACAAAUAAAAUUAUCAGAAUUCA